AACGAACGCUGGCGGCAGGCUUAACACAUGCAAGUCGAACGGGCGUAGCAAUACGUCAGUGGCGGACGGGUGAGUAACACGUGGGAAUAUGCCUUUCGGUUCGGAACAACUCGGGGAAACCCGUGCUAAUUCCGGAUGCGCCCUUACGGGGAAAGAUUUAUCGCCGAAAGAUUAGCCCGCGUUGGAUUAGCUAGUUGGUGAGGUAAAGGCUCACCAAGGCGACGAUCCAUAGCUGGUUUGAGGGAACGACCAGCCACACUGGGACUGAGACACGGCCCAGACUCCUACGGGAGGCAGCAGUGGGGAAUCUUGCGCAAUGGCCUAACGGCUGACGCAGCGACGCCGCGUGAGGGAUGAAGCUCUUCGGAGUGUAAACCUCUGUUGAUCGGGACGAAUGGCGGAUUUUUCCGAC
rnacentral:rRNA from 1 species